rnacentral:rRNA from 1 species
UACGGGGGGGGGCAAGCGUUGUUCGGAAUUACUGGGCGUAAAGGGCUCGUAGGUGGCCAACUAAGUCAGACGUGAAAUCCCUCGGCUUAACCGGGGAACUGCGUCUGAUACUGGAUGGCUUGAGUUUGGGAGAGGGACGCGGAAUUCCAGGUGUAGCGGUGAAAUGCGUAGAUAUCUGGAGGAACACCGGUGGCGAAGGCGGCGAUCCUGGACCAAUACUGACGCUGAGGAGCGAAAGCCAGGGGAGCAAACGGGG